UACGGAGGGUGCAAACGUUGCUCGGAAUCAUUGGGCGUAAAGCGCACGUAGGCGGUCCGGCAAGUCGGGUGUGAAAGCCCUCGGCUUAACCGAGGAAGUGCAUUCGAAACUACCGGACUUGAAUACUGGAGAGGGUCGCGGAAUUCCCGGUGUAGAGGUGAAAUUCGUAGAUAUCGGGAGGAACACCAGUGGCGAAGGCGGCGACCUGGGCCAAUACUGACGCUGAGGUGCGAAAGCUAGGGGAGCAAACGGG
rnacentral:rRNA from 1 species